GCUGCGGGCCUUGAACUUUCUAAGGGAAAAAACACUUUCUCACGGACGGUGACAGCGAAACGGAUAACAGUCUUCAGUACCUGCUGGUCUUUGAAGCUCUGGAUUCUGGGACUGUUGGAAAAGAGGUAGCGGCGAGAGGCGGGACCUCGACUCAUCCAGCUGGAGAGCCUGAUCAGGAGGCGUCGAACAUUAACUCUGCUCUUCCAGGGCACCCUGCAGACUCGGCUGCUGGCAACAGCGAGGGAGUGCGUGAACGCCAAACAGGAGUCCAUCACAGGUCGACUGCAGCUCCUUGUCUCAGAGUGGGAGGGAUUUGAAGCACAAAGGGAGGACCUUGUCGUUUGGUUGGCUGAUAUGGAUGUCCACCUGAGUGAGGUUGACCAGCUGACAGGAAACACCUGUGAAAAGCUGAAACAACUGCAGGUGUUGGGGUUGUUUUGAUAUGACAUAUAUUUGAUAUGAUACAUACGUCAAGAGACAUUAUCCUAAACUGGACUAACAAAGAACCAUGAGUCCAACAUGAAACUUACCUUGCAUAAGGUAAGGCUGAAGUUCAUUGAGAAUUUUAAUCAAAAACUUGUUGUUGAAAUAUUUUUACUGAACAUGCAAACAUCUGCUGAUGAAAAUGUCUUGAUUUAUUGGUCUGUUAUGAAGCUAUUGCUAUUUCUAAUAUGUUUUAUCACUUUCUGAUGUUUUAU